rnacentral:rRNA from 1 species
AUUGAACGCUGGCGGCAGGCCUAACACAUGCAAGUCGAGCGGAGCGGCGGACGGGUGAGUAAUGCCUAGGAAUCUGCCUGGUAGUGGGGGAUAACGUCCGGAAACGGGCGCUAAUACCGAAUACUAUCAGAUGAGCCUAGGUCGGAUUAGCUAGUUGGUGGGGUAACGGCCUACCAAGGCGUCGAUCCGUAACAGGUCUGAGAGGAUGAUCAGUCACCCUGGAACGGAGGAUCGGUCCAGACUCUUACGUGAGGCAGCAGUCGGGAAUAUUGGACAAUGGGCGAAAGCUUGUUCCAGCCAUGCGGCGUGUGUUGAGAAGGUCUUCGGAUUGUUAAUCACUUUAAGUUGGCAGGCGUUACCAUCAGAAUAAGCACCGGCUAACUUCGUGCCAGCAGCCGCGGUAAUUC